GCAGCGUCUCCGACCGCCGGGCGCGGUGGCGCGUGCCUGUAGUCCCAGCUACUCGGGAGGCUGAGGUGGGAGGAUCGCUUGAGCCCAGGAGUUCUGGGCUGUAGUGCGCUAUGCCGAUCGGGUGUCCGCACUAAGUUCGGCAUCAAUAUGGUGACCUCCCGGGAGCGGGGGACCACCAGGUUGCCUAAGGAGGGGUGAACCGGCCCAGGUCGGAAACGGAGCAGGUCAAAACUCCCGUGCUGAUCAGUAGUGGGAUCGCGCCUGUGAAUAGCCACUGCACUCCAGCCUGAGCAACAUAGCGAGACCCCGUCUCUUUUGCCCCCCUCCCUCAUUAAGGGUACCUUUCGCGAAAGCUCACCAGUUGACGGGAUGCUUGGGGAUUUGCAACCGCCUCAUCGCUGCCCCCUACCGGCGCAUAUUCAAAACGUCUCUGCGAAAAGCUGUUAUUACCUUCGGAGCCAACAGGGGCUGCUCGUUUACCCACAGACAGUCGGAAAAAAAUGGCCGCCGGAUCACAGAGAGCAAAAAGUACGUUCUCUUAAAGAAUUUCCAAGUUCUUCCCGCGGCCGUUCAGGAUGCUGCUUGCAGUUACCAACAUUAUUCCCCUGCACUGAGCUGACCUGAGCUUCCCUGCCUACCUCCUGUCACGGAUGUCACCUUCUUUCACCCCUGUCCUGUCAAGGUUUUUGCUUUAGAAUGCUAUAGACCAAAGACGGGCUAAUCAACAGUCUUACACACAAAUCCUUUCGUUCUACUUGGCUACAGGCAGGGCUAAUCUUCCGAAGAGGAAUCCCACUACUGCCUCCUUAUAAGGGAAAAACUCCUCUCAGAGGAACCCAGAACGCCCUGUGAUGACAGAGGUGAGGGGCCAGCGUGGCAGAAUGCACCACCCUGUCUCCUCGCUUGCUUCUCUCUCCGUCGGAUUGCCAAAAAGGGAACGGCACCUAGACGCCGAAAAGUAACUGAAGCAAAGGGAGUUUAAAGAACGCGCCCAGCCGCCUGGGUCUUGAACCCAGUGUUAAUGAGAGCAAAAACCUCUGCAUCCUCCACUGAGCUGUCCUUGAGCAUGUCUCAUAAUCAUGCUUCAUUUUAAAAACAGAAAUAAGUGAGUAAGCUAUGAAAGAAGACAACCUUUAAAUUUUUCAAAAGUUCUUGGUGGUCUGUGAUUAGAAAUUUCAUCUAUAUGAAAUAACUGUUUUGGAGGGCUUACUGUUAAAUUCAGGCAUUUUAGGGCCAGUGGAAACUGGUUAAGCAUUCACAUCAGUCUUAACAUUAAUCUGAUAAUCUACUGGGAGUUUAAAGACUCUAAGCACUAAACACAGAUUUUCCUCACUGUCUAUAAAAUGAAAGAGGAAAGAAGCAUUGUACUAAAUUUUUUAUAAAGCUAAUUGUAUUCCCUUUUUUUUUUUUGAGGUAGUUCAUUGCAUUUUGAACAAGGAUAACUGUCAGAAAAGAUCCUCUUUGAAUAAAACAGGUAUCUCCCCCA
rnacentral:lncRNA from 1 species